UAGGGAAUCUUCCGCAAUGGACGCAAGUCUGGCGGAGCAACGCCGCGUGAGUGAAGAAGGAUUUCGGUUCGUAAAACUCUGUUGUUAGAGAAGAACAGCGCAUAGAGUAACUGUUAUGCGUGUGACGGUAUCUAACCAGAAAGCCACGGCUAACUACGUGCCAGCAGCCGCGGUAAUACGUAGGUGGCAAGCGUUGUCCGGAUUUAUUGGGCGUAAAGCGAGCGCAGGCGGUCAAUUAAGUCUGAUGUGAAAGCCCCCGGCUCAACCGGGGAGGGUCAUUGGAAACUGGUUGACUUGAGUGCAGAAGAGGAGAGUGGAAUUCCAUGUGUAGCGGUGAAAUGCGUAGAUAUAUGGAGGAACACCAGUGGCGAAGGCGACUCUCUGGUCUGUAACUGACGCUGAGGCUCGAAAGCGUGGGUAGCAAACAGG
rnacentral:rRNA from 1 species